CACUGUUAAAAGUGCUACAUCCACAAUGUAGAUUUAGUAUAUUUCAAAUGCUUGUGAUUUACCUUAUUUUAUUUGUUUUGUCAUAAAAAGGAUCAAAAUUAUUUGCCUCUACUUGAAAUGCAAAAUUAUAUAUAUAAGAAUUUAUUGUAAGUGCUACUGACACAUUAUAUUUGAGUAUUUUUUUCCACGUGACUGUUGUGUACAUGAAACAUUAUAAAUUUGAGUUUACUUGGAAAAUUCAUAGUAGUCCUUAAACGAAAAAAUUGAGUUGAGGUUAGUGACUAUCCAUGAAGCUUGGCAGCAAAGGCGGCAGAGGAGGCAGACUCAGACAAUACACGUCCUUUGGCAUGUUCCCUACAGAGCAAAUUUCCUUCAGGAAAAAAAAACGGUUAAGCGAGCUGGACUUGUAAAAGAUGUAGUGAUGUUCUGCCAACAAGAAAAUAUUGCCCCAAUGACUGAUAAUAAUGUGAGAAUCCCCUUAAACGGUGUUUGUGGAAAUGUUGGCAUAUGUUCUUAAGACUAAGGUAAGGAGAGUAAGGUAAUAAUUCAUUACUUUUUAUACUCAAAAAUACAAACAUGGUGACUAUGUCCCUUUACUUCUUGAUUAGAGGUCAUCAUGUAUGUUAAUUUGAUGUAUGGGCUAAAACUAAAUUUUGCCUACAACUCAAGCAUGUAUCUUCAAUAACAAAAUACUCCUACCCCCUUCAGUAUGUGAUAAAGAUGGCAUGCUUCUGCUUACAGAUCAGUAAGGAGUUCCGCCCAAUUAAUGACAUACCGAACACACACCAAAGAUGUUGUCACUGUUCCAUGCAAAAAGAAGAGCUGUGGGCCAAAGGAUCAAGUCACGGAUGCUGCAACGCAUCCAGUACUCUCCUCUCCGCUCCUUUACUGUUUCCUCAUCUCCUCUUUUCUCAUCUCCACUAUUCUCAUCUCCUCUCACCCCUUCUCUUCUACCAUAUCCUUCCCUUCUUUUUCAUAGGACACAACUGUCUCUGUUGAUAAGAGAAGGGAAGCGGUCCUGAGAUGCUUGAUUGAGUACAUUGGGGGCCAUGAAGAGGACCUUAUAAAUGACCAUAAUGUGCAUGCAGUGCUGAUACUGCCGGCAUCGUCAUUGACUGAUACCCAGUCAUCAGAGGUUUGCCCAACUUGGCAAAGGCAUGCUGUCUUCUGUUUGGACUGAUCUAUGCUCUUGAGCUGAAAUAUCCUGCAAAACUGGUGCACACAUAUGAAGUCUUUCAGCAGCUCUUUCUUGCCAUGAAUGUCAUGCCUCCCAAACCAUCACCAAAGUACACUAAUUUGCUGAACAAGCUGAGUUAAAAUUUUAUUUUCAGUUUUGAGAUUUUUUUCUGUACAUUUUCAGCCACAUUGAGAGUGUGAGAUUUGCUUUUGUUGUUUUUACAUUGAUUGCCAUGGUAGUUGGCAGAGUGUUUUGAGAGGACUGCACUGACUUCUCUUUGUUUUGCUGUGUUCAAGUUAGGACAUUUUUGGCCAUGUUUAAGACAAAGCAAAACUUUUAUGAAAUAAGUGUUGUGGCAACGCAGCUGAGCCACUAAACAGUUUCCAGUGUGUGCGUGCCCUCGCUUGGUUGCUCGGUCGGUCGACUGUCUUUUAUCGCUGUGCCAUCUUUGUUAUGCUAAAUUUUGUACAUUAUGGCUAUAUCUAUGCCAGGAAAAAAAUUAAUAAAAAAUAAGAAUAAAAAUAUAAAAAUAAAUAUUUGAAAUGUCUUUUCAGCUUGUUCUUCAUUUAAAAUCGUUGCUUUUCACUGUAUAGUCUAUUUCAAUGUUUUGGUGUGCUUUACAGAGAACGAAAGCGAUCUCAUCUGUCAGAAAACAAAACAGUUAAAUUCUCUCGGAGUAAUGAAGCUCCAGGCUGCUUAUAUGAACUAAACACCAUAAAAAAUGUAUUAUCUGAAUAAAGAACUAAAAAACAAAAUAAAUGAAUAUUUUACCAUCACUUACGUUCUCUUUAAUGAUAAAUUUUACAGUAGAAUUGUUUAAUUGAGAUGAAUGUACUUCUGGCGAAUAACCAGAAGUACAUGAAUCUCAAUUAAGGCCUAUUUAAGUAUAUUGAAAAUUAUUGUAUUACUUUACAUGAGCUCAAAAAAAUUGAGUUAAACCAAUACUACUGAUAAUGCCUAGUUGGCCCAAUCAAGAAAAUUGAGUUCAUUAAACGCAUAAAAAUCCAGUUGAUUUAAACCAAUACCACUGCAAAUCCCUAGUUGGAUAAACUUAAUUUUCUUGAUUGAUCCAACUAGGCAUUAUCAGUAGUAUUGUUUUAACUCAACUUAAUUUUUAUGAGCUCAUGUAAAGUAUUAAAAUCAUUUUCAUUCUACCUAAAAAAGGCUUGAAGUUUACUCAACUUAAAAAGACCAAUGCAAUCGCUUGCCUUAUUUUUUAUAAGUAAGA